GUAGUAGUUAAAGUAAAGGUUUAACUAGCUUUAUAUACGUAGUCGAAACUGAAAGGUUGAUCGACCACAGUGGGCCUGAAGAAAGCCCACGAUGAUUAUUACAGCAGUGAGGAAUAUUGGUCAAUAGCCUAAAGGCUGAACCAGCAACUUGGAGGAAUGAAUAGUGAAAGCUAAUUGUAUUACAUAAUACAAUAUCGAUUUAAUCGAAUAAAAUUCUGGGUAGAAUUAUGAUGAUGACAUUGUUUACCUAUAUUUCUUGACCAAAUUACGUGCCAGCAGUCGCGGUAAUACGUAAAAGAUCAGUGUUAUUCAUCUUUAAUGGGUUUAAAGGGUACCUAGACAGCAAGCCAAGCCUACCUAAGGCACUAGUUUGCUAGAGUUACUAAUGAGGGGGCACAAAAGUACUGCUGGUGUAGAGAUGAAAUUCGAUGAUACCUUUUUUCGAGAGAAAAAUAAUGGCACAGGUUUAGGCAAAAGCAUCCCCUUAUGAGAUAACUGACGUUGAAGGACGAAGGCUUUGUGUAGCGAACAGGAUUAGAUACCCUGAUAGUCGAAGCAGAAAAUGAUGAGUGUCAUAGAUUAGAUAUAAAUUUAUUCUAUAAAUGAAAGUGUAAGCACUCCACCUCAAGAGUAAUUUGGCAACAUUGGAACUGAAAUCAUUAGACCGUUUCUGAAACCAGUAGUGAAGUAUGUUGUUCAAUUAGAAAGCACGC
rnacentral:rRNA from 1 species